AACGGUAACAGGANGUGCUUGCACUUCGCUGACGAGUGGCGGACGGGUGAGUAAUGCUUGGGAACUUGCCUUUGCGAGGGGGAUAACAGUUGGAAACGACUGCUAAUACCGCAUAAUGUCUUCGGACCAAACGGGGCUUAGGCUCCGGCGCAAAGAGAGGCCCAAGUGAGAUUAGCUANUUNGGUAAGGUAAAGGCUUACCAAGGCAACGAUCUCUAGCUGUUCUGAGAGGAAGAUCAGCCACACUGGAACUGAGACACGGUCCAGACUCCUACGGGAGGCAGCAGUGGGGAAUAUUGCACAAUGGGGGAAACCCUGAUGCAGCCAUGCCGCGUGUGUGAAGAAGGCCUUCGGGUUGUAAAGCACUUUCAGUUGUGAGGAAAAGUUAGUAGUUAAUACCUGCUAGCCGUGACGUUAACAACAGAAGAAGCACCGGCUAACUCCGUGCCAGCAGCCGCGGUAAUACGGAGGGUGCGAGCGUUAAUCGGAAUUACUGGGCGUAAAGCGCACGCAGGCGGUUUGUUAAGCUAGAUGUGAAAGCCCCGGGCUCAACCUGGGANGGUCAUUUAGAACUGGCAGACUAGAGUCUUGNNGANNGGGNNNNNGGAAUUCCAGGUGUAGCGGUGAAAUGCGUAGAUAUCUGGAGGAACAUCAGUGGCGAANNNGACUCCCUGGCCAAAGACUGACGCUCAUGUGCGAAAGUGUGGGUAGCGAACAGNAUUAGAUACCCUGGUAGUCCACACCGUANCGCUGUCUAC
rnacentral:rRNA from 1 species